rnacentral:rRNA from 1 species
AUUGAACGCUGGCGGCAUGCCUUACACAUGCAAGUCGAACGGUAACGCGGGGCAACCUGGCGACGAGUGGCGAACGGGUGAGUAAUGCAUCGGAACGUGCCUGGUAGUGGGGGAUAACUGCUCGAAAGAGCAGCUAAUACCGCAUACGACCUGAGGGUGAAAGGGGGGGAUCGCAAGACCUCUCGCUAUCAGAGCGGCCGAUGUCGGAUUAGCUAGUUGGUGGGGUAAAGGCCCACCAAGGCGACGACCCGUAGCUGGUCUGAGAGGACGACCAGCCACACUGGGAAUGAUGCACGGCCCAGGCUCCUACGGGAGGCAGCAGUGGGGAAUUUUGGACAAUGGACGCAAGUCUGAUCCAGCCAUGCCGCGUGCGGGAAGAAGGCCUUCGGGUUGUAAACCGCUUUUGUCAGGGAAGAAAUCUUCUGGGUUAAUACCUCGGGAGGAUGACGGUACCUGAAGAAUAAGCACCGGCUAACUACGUGCCAGCCGCCGCGGUAAAA